rnacentral:rRNA from 1 species
CAAGUAGAGUGAUCGAAAGAUGAAAAGCACUUUGAAAAGAGGGUUAAAUAGCACGUGAAAUUGUUGAAAGGGAAGCGUUUGUGACCAGACUUGCGCCGUUCCGAUCAUCCGGUGUUCUCACCGGUGCACUCGGGGCGGCUCAGGCCAGCAUCGGUUUUGGUGGGGGGAUAAAGGUUCGGGGAACGUAGCUCCUCCGGGAGUGUUAUAGCCCCGGGCGUAAUGCCCUCGCCGGGACCGAGGUUCGCG